AUGCCUGAGUGGAUAGGGGGAGAUGGAACUCCUCUCUCAGCCCAGUCAUGCCUAAGGACCCCCUCACCAAAGUGUCUUCAUUUGUGCAUAUUAGGAAGCCCUGGAAUAAGCAACUGGCAAAAUUUGAGGCUGCCACAGAUCCUUGCAGAAAAGGGUCGAGGAGCCAUCUGUGAUAUUAACUUUCAAAACACCACGGUACACUUCAGUGAGCUGAAUAAUGUCACGCCACCAAACGGACCCACAAGGGUCGUCAGAAGCAUGAGGAACCUUGUUUUCGUAGUAUGUGGACCAAACCAAAUUCACCCAGGGGACAUCAUGUUUAUUAUAUAA
rnacentral:rRNA from 1 species